CUGCUGCCUUCCGUAGGAGUCUGGGCCGUGUCUCAGUCCCAGUGUGGCCGUCCACCCUCUCAGGCCGGCUGCUGAUCGCCGCUUUGGUGGGCCGUUACCCCGCCAACUGGCUAAUCAGACGCGGGCCCAUCCUGUACCACCGGAGUUUUCAAAGGAUUACCAUGCGGUAUUCCCUAUUAUGCGGUAUUAGCACCUAUUUCUAAGUGUUAUCCCCCGGUACAGGGCAGGUUGCCCACGCGUUACUCACCCGUCCGCCACUAAGAUA
rnacentral:rRNA from 1 species